rnacentral:rRNA from 1 species
GGCCCCGGCUUGUGCGUGCCUGCCAGAGGAAACCUAANCUCUGUUUUUAGUGAUGUCUGAGUACUAUAUAAUAGUUAAAACUUUCAACAACGGAUCUCUNGGUUCUGGCAUCAAUGAAGAACGCAGCGAAAUGCGAUAAGGAAUGUGAAUUGCAUAAUUCAGUGAAUCAUCCAAUCUUUGAACGCACAUUGCGCCCCGUGGUAUUCCACGGGGCGUGCCUGUUCGAGCGUCAUUUACACCAAUCAACCCUGUGCUUGGUAUUGGGGUUUGCAGUUCCGCAGCCUCUAAACGCUUUGGCGGUGCUAUUGAGCUCUGAACGUAAUAAAUCUCCUCGCUAUAGAGUCUCGGUAGUUACUUGCCAACAACCCCCAACUUAUCAAGGUUGACCUCAGAUCAGGUAGGGAUACCCGCUGAACUUGAGCAUAUCAAUAAGCGGAGGAAGAUUUUACGACGCUUUAUGUGUUGUUCAACUCGAUCUCAAAUCAAGUAAGACUACCCGCUGAACUUAAGCAUAUCAAUAAGCGGAGGAA